UGUAGCUCAGUGGUAGAGCACUUGCCUAGCAUGCACAAGGCCCUGGGUUCAAUUCCCAGCA
rnacentral:tRNA from 1 species